GAGUUCAAGCAGGGAUCCGUGUGAUCACUGUUCUCUUGCCAGGACACGAGGUGGACAAUAAGGUCCCUUUGUAAAUAGUUGGUGGAAGUUCUCGCUUGCGGGCUGCAACGGGAGUCGCACGGGGAAGCGGGAGGAGCGGCUGCUGAGCCAGAG
rnacentral:lncRNA from 1 species